AGUAAAGUCAGCUAAUUAAGCUCUCAGGCCCAUACCCUGCCCAUGUAGGUUAAAAUCUCUACCUUUACUA
rnacentral:tRNA from 1 species